rnacentral:tRNA from 1 species
UAUGUUUUAGUGUAAAGGCACAUGAAGUUUUGAUCUUCAAGGGAAUGGUGUAACUCCAUUAAAUGUAA